UGGCGGGUUAAGGAUCGGGGAGCUAGCCCUGCCCUGUAACCCGAAAAGGGCUACAUGCGGGGAUCCGCCAACCGUCAAGGGCGGCAGCCUGAACAGCCAAAUGAGGUUUCACAGGAUGACGGUGAGACUUCGUCUCGCAGGGCUUGGUUGGAGACAGCCCCGUCGAAGGAUGGAGUUAAGUCUCUUCACCGCCGAACCGGGUCAGGCCGGGAACGGAGCAGCCCUAAGGUGGGCAGCCAAGCGUUUGCGAGGGCGCGGAGUUGAGAAAGCCUGUGAAAUACUCGGGUUGGGAGGGGGCCCACUUUGACGGGAUGCCGCUA
rnacentral:SRP_RNA from 1 species